rnacentral:rRNA from 1 species
AUUAGGUGGGCGGGACGGGUGAGUAACGCGUGGAUAACCUGCCGUAUACAGGGGGAUAACACUUAGAAAUAGGUGCUAAUACCGCAUAAGCGCACGGUUCCGCAUGGAACAGUGUGAAAAAACUCCGGUGGUAUACGAUGGAUCCGCGUCUGAUUAGCCAGUUGGCGGGGUAACGGCCCACCAAAGCGACGAUCAGUAGCCGGCCUGAGAGGGUGAACGGCCACAUUGGGACUGAGACACGGCCCAAACUCCUACGGAAGGCAGCAG